rnacentral:rRNA from 1 species
UGAGGAAUAUUGGUCAAUGGGCGCGAGCCUGAACCAGCCAAGUAGCGUGAAGGAUGACGGCCCUAUGGGUUGUAAACUUCUUUUAUAUGGGAAUAAAGUUUGGUAUGCAUACCAUUUUGUAUGUACCAUAUGAAUAAGGAUCGGCUAACUCCGUGCCAGCAGCCGCGGUAAUACGGAGGAUCCGAGCGUUAUCCGGAUUUAUUGGGUUUAAAGGGUGCGUAGGUGGUUAAUUAAGUCAGCGGUGAAAGUUUGUGGCUCAACCAUAAAAUUGCCGUUGAAACUGGUUGACUUGAGUACAGUAGAGGUAGGCGGAAUUCGUGGUGUAGCGGUGAAAUGCGUAGAUAUUAGGAGGAACACCAGUGGCGAAGGCGGCUUACUGGACAGUCACUGACGUUGAGGCUCGAAAGCGUGGGUAUCGAACAGG